GUCACCCCGUUUCCCCCCACCCGCCCCGCUAUUUAUAUAGCGUCGGGCCGCCGCCCGGACACCGCAGUGCGCCCCUUAGCUGGCGACUGUGUCCCACGGGCCGCUGGUACCUGUGUGAGGCGAGGCGGACGCUAUGGCGGCCGAGGCCCUGGCGGCGGAUGCCGUGGCGUCGCGCCUGGCGCGGCAGGAGGAGGACAUCCGCUGGCUGUGGACGGAGGUCCACCGCCUGAGAGACGAGCAGCUGAACGCGCCCGACCGCUGCCAGGCCGAGGGGCCGUGCCUCACGCGCGAGGUGGCGCAGCUGCGGGCCGAGAACCGCGAGCUGCGCCACCGCCUGUACCGCCUGCGGCUGUGCCUCGCGGAGGAGCUGAGCCACCAGGCGCGGCGGGAGAGCACGCUGCGGCAGGAGGCCGGGCGCGAGGCUGCGGGCACUCAGCCUCCUCCUAGUCAGAGCCAAGGAAAGGACAUUAAAAAGAAGAAGGAAAGCGGGCCUGACAGUGAGGUGAAGAAUCCACCAAAUUUUGUGAAGGAAAGAUUGAAGCUUUUUGAAAUACUGAAGAAAGAUCAUCAGCUCUUACUUGCCAUUUAUGGAAAAAAGGGGAAUACAAGCAAUGUGAUCACAGUAAGAGUGGCUGAUGGGAAAACAGUGGAAGGGGAAGCUUGGAAAACAACACCUUACCAAGUGGCUGCUGAAAUUAGUCAGGAGCUGGCAGAAAGCACAGUGAUAGCCAAAGUGAAUGGGGAGCUGUGGGACCUGGACCGUCCGCUGGAAGGGGACACCACCCUAGAGCUGCUCACGUUUGAGGACAAGGAAGCCCAAACUGUGUACUGGCACUCCAGUGCCCACGUCCUCGGGGAAGCCCUGGAGCUCCACUACGGGGGCCUCCUGUGCUGCGGGCCACCUACCGACUGCGGGUUCUACUACGACAUGUUCCUCAAAGACAGGGCCGUGUCCAGCACAGAGCUGCCAGCGCUGGAGAGCACGUGCAAGGCCAUCAUCAAAGAGCAGCAGCCUUUCGAAAGGUUGGAAGUCAGCAAGGAGGCCCUGCUGGACCUGUUUAAGUACAAUAAAUUUAAAUGCCGCAUCCUGAAGGAGAAUAUUAACACGCCAACGACCACAGUUUACAGGUGUGGUCCACUAGUUGACCUUUGUAAAGGCCCCCAUGUAAGACACACUGGAAAAAUUAAAGAGAUAAAAAUUUUCAAGAAUUCCUCAGCAUAUUGGGAGGGUAACCCUGAAAUGGAAACGCUGCAGAGGGUCUACGGGAUAUCCUUUCCUGAUGACCAGAUGAUGACAGCCUGGGAGAAGCUGCAGGAGGAGACCAAGACCCAGGAUCACAGGAGGAUUGGGAAGGAACAAGAACUUUUCUUCUUCCAUGAUCUGAGUCCUGGAAGCUGUUUCUUUCUUCCCAGAGGAGCCUUCGUUUAUAAUACACUUAUGGAUUUCAUACGAGAGGAGUACCACCGACGCAGCUUCAUGGAGGUGCUCUCCCCCAACGUGUACAGCAGUAAGCUCUGGGAAACCUCUGGACACUGGCAGCAUUACAGUGACAACAUGUUCACCUUUGACAUUGACAAGGACACUUUUGCCCUUAAGCCCAUGAAUUGUCCGGGGCACUGUCUGAUGUUUGCCCAUCGUCCACGAUCUUGGAGGGAAAUGCCUAUUAGAUUUGCUGACUUCGGAGCUCUUCACAGGAAUGAGCCGUCAGGAACUUUACAUGGCUUGACCCACGUCAGGCGCUUCCAGCAGGAUGACGCUCACAUCUUCUGCACUGUGGAGCAGAUUGAAGAAGAAAUAAAAGGGUGUUUGCAGUUUUUGCAAUCCGUUUACUCAACAUUUGGCUUCUCCUUUCAAUUAAAUUUGUCAACAAGACCUGAAAACUUUCUAGGGGAGGUUGAGAUAUGGGAUGAAGCUGAAAAGCAACUACAGAAUAGCUUGAUGGAAUUUGGGAAACCAUGGAAGAUGAACCCGGGAGAUGGAGCAUUUUAUGGUCCUAAAAUUGAUAUAAAAAUCAAGGAUGCUAUUGGCAGAUACCAUCAGUGUGCUACAAUUCAGCUGGACUUCCAACUGCCUGUAAGAUUUAAUCUUACAUAUGUUAGGCAACAUUAUGCGACAUUCAGGAAUAUACCAUGCUGUUUCCAGUUUGUAGAAUGAAUUAUUUCUUCACAUAUCUGAGCAGGACUGGACUCAGGUCCCCCAGCCCCACCCCAAAGCUUCUGUAGGAUUGACAGAGGAUUUGGCCUGCAGUCAGUCUGCCGUGGCUUUUAGCAGAAAUGAUUGGCAAUGACGAUGUCCAAUGAAAACUCUUUUGAAGUGAGUUUAAUGAAUGAGUCUCUGUUUUUAUUUGUCUGUUUGCCCUGUGUGUAUAUGUGUUUUAGUAGUAAAUAGCUGGUACAACGUUUAGAUAAAAAUUUGUCCUAAGAACUUUGUAUGCAUCACACAUUAUUACAUUUGUUGCAGUAAUGUGAAAUUUAUCUUUCUGGGAAAAGUGUGCACAGAUCUUGGAGUGCCUGACUUUAUUACAAUUAACAGUUGUAAUUUGCUUUUUACAUCUUUUUUUGAAAGGGAGGAGAGGAUUCUCAAAUGUAAGGAGAAUGUCAUGAAGGUUUCAGGUCUGUAAACGGAAUUUGACCAGUGGACUUCUGGAACAAGUAUCAGGAACAUUUUGAAAUAUAUCUGUAGUAUGGGGGCAUAGUGUUUACAAUAUGGCAGUGUGUUUACAGUGGAUGGUGUCAGGAAUGGGUGCAUUUGGACCAAACUAGGUUGGCUGUGAGUUGACAUUUGCUGAUGCUGAGAAAGGGUUAUGUGGGAGUUCAUUAUACUAUUCUCUCUACUUUUGUAUAUGUUUUCAAUAUUCUCUAAUAACUACUAACUAACUAACUAAGGUUGGUAAAUUUUUUGCCAGCCACCGUGGUCAUACCAUUAACCCAAACUAAUAGAAUACCAACAUAUUCUAUUACAGACUACAGAAACCCAUUUUCUUUAUUUUUGCAAUGUCUUUGAUAAUUGUUCAAUAAAUUAGUGGUGAAGUAAGCCAUAGUUCAAAAUAAAGUUAAUUUAAAAAAUAUGAUUUGUAAAAUUGCCUCUCAAUAUGAGUAAACUGGUAGUUUCGAAUAAAACUGGUAGUUUAGAAUAAUCAGUAGAUUUGUAAUAGAGAUAGUGAUCUAAUAUCAUGUUGCUUUUUCCUAGAUGAUAUAUUUUACUUCCCUUUGGUUUAUAAAAGAUACCAUAGGGCUUCCCUGGUGGCGCAGUGGUUAAGAAUCCACCUGCCAAUGCAGGGGACAUGGGUUCAAGCCCUGGUCCGGGAAGAUCCUACAUGCCGCGGAGCAACUAAGCCUGUGCGCCACAACUACUGAAGCCUGAGCGCUUAGAGCUCAUGCUCUGCAACAAGAGAAGCCACCACAAUGAGAAGCCCGUGCACCGCAACGAAGAGUAGCCCCCACUCGCUGCAACUAGAGAAAGCCCACAUGCAGCAACAAAGACCUAAUGCAGCCAAAAAUAAAUAAAUUUUAAAAAUACUAAACUAUUAAAAAAAUAAGAAACAUAAUGCAAAAUCUCUUUAAAAAAAUAAAAGAUACCAUAAUUUGAAAGAAAAAAACCUUUAUUUCUAAUUAAUGGCACAUUUAUGUUUAAAGAUAAUUUAUGAGUAAUCUAUUGUUUUACCUAGUUUGGGAAAAUACCUUUUAAAUAUAAGGUAAGAAGAUAAAGUUAUUUAUGAAUCUUAAAAGAAUAAUUAAAUGUAUAAUUUUCAUUUUUUUAGUAAGGAUGGGGAUGAUAAGAAGAACCCUGUGAUCAUUCAUCGAGCCAUUUUGGGGUCAGUGGAAAGAAUGAUAGCCAUUCUCUCAGAAAACUAUGGAGGAAAGUGGCCUUUCUGGCUGUCUCCUCGUCAGGUAAUGGUCAUCCCUGUGG